rnacentral:lncRNA from 1 species
AAGAAAGUGAAAGUUCAUGUAACCCCCCAUCUCUCCUCCUUCUCCUUUCCUCCUCACUCCUUCCACUAUUUAUUUAAACUACAACCUUCCACUUCAGAAGUUGAACAUUCAGAUCUGUAUUUCGUAGCCUCCCUUGCAACUGUGAACAGCAUGAGGAUCUGCCUUGGAUAUUGGCUCAGGGACUCAGACCCAGAGCUGCACUGCUGGUGGCUCAGGUGUCAGGGCCCAGCAGCCAGCACUGCCAUAGGCCCAGCAGAGCUGUCCCUGCCAUGCAGGCCUUGGCAUCUUUGGGAGCUGUUGACCUGUACUGCUUUUAAACCCAAGCCUGCCAUUCUUCCUGACUUCUCAUAUCCUCUAAUAAAUUCCUCUCUUGGCUUCAAUUAGCCUGAGUUGUUUUGGUUUCUCUUGGCAACUCCCACCCCUGCCCCCUCCUGGCUGACAUACUUAUUUUUUAAAAGAACAUGGACUUAUUGCAUCCCUCACAGAUACCCCCCAGACAGGGUUUCUCAGUGUAACAGCCCUGGCUAUCCUUGAACACAUUCUGUAGAUCAGGCUGGC